UACGUAGGGGGCAAGCGUUGUCCGGAAUCAUUGGGCGUAAAGAGCGCGUAGGCGGUCCGGUAAGUCCGCUGUGAAAGUCAAGGGCUCAACCCUUGAAUGCCGGUGGAUACUGUCGGGCUAGAGUCCGGAAGAGGCGAGUGGAAUUCCUGGUGUAGCGGUGAAAUGCGCAGAUAUCAGGAGGAACACCAAUGGCGAAGGCAGCUCGCUGGGACGGUACUGACGCUGAGGCGCGAAAGCCAGGGGAGCGAACGGG
rnacentral:rRNA from 1 species